GAUGAACGCUGGCGGCGUGCUUAACACAUGCAAGUCGAACGGGAAACCUUUUAUUGAAGCUUCGGCAGAUUUAGCUGGUUUCUAGUGGCGGACGGGUGAGUAACGCGUGGGUAACCUGCCUUAUACAGGGGGAUAACAACCAGAAAUGGUUGCUAAUACCGCAUAAGCGCACAGGACCGCAUGGUCCGGUGUGAAAAACUCCGGUGGUAUAAGAUGGACCCGCGUUGGAUUAGCUAGUUGGCAGGGUAACGGCCUACCAAGGCGACGAUCCAUAGCCGGCCUGAGAGGGUGAACGGCCACAUUGGGACUGAGACACGGCCCAGACUCCUACGGGAGGCAGCAGUGGGGAAUAUUGCACAAUGGGGGAAACCCUGAUGCAGCGACGCCGCGUGAAGGAAGAAGUAUCUCGGUAUGUAAACUUCUAUCAGCAGGGAAGAUAGUGACGGUACCUGACUAAGAAGCC
rnacentral:rRNA from 1 species